AUUGAACGCUGGCGGCAUGCCUUACACAUGCAAGUCGAACGGUAACGGGCCUUCGGGUGCCGACGAGUGGCGAACGGGUGAGUAAUGCAUCGGAACGUACCUUUCAGUGGGGGAUAACGUAGCGAAAGUUACGCUAAUACCGCAUAUUCUGUGAGCAGGAAAGCAGGGGAUCGCAAGACCUUGCGCUGAUUGAGCGGCCGAUGUCAGAUUAGCUAGUUGGUGAGGUAAAGGCUCACCAAGGCGACGAUCUGUAGCGGGUCUGAGAGGAUGAUCCGCCACACUGGAACUGAGACACGGACCAGACUCCUACGGGAGGCAGCAGUGAGGAAUAUUGGUCAAUGGGCGCAAGCCUGAACCAGCCAUCCCGCGUGAAGGAAGAAUGCGCUACGCGUUGUAAACUUUCUUUUCCAGGGGGAAAUAACUCCUGUCGUGACAGGACUUGACGGUACUCGUAGGGAAUAAGCAGUCGGACUAACGUCCGUCGCC
rnacentral:rRNA from 1 species